AUCUACAGCCAUGCCACCCUGAAAAAGCCCACGUCACCCUGAACAAGCCCGAUCCCAUCUAAUCUCAGAAGCUAAGCAGGGUCGGGCCUGGUUAGUACUUGGAUGGGAGACUACCUAGGAAGACCAAGUGCUGUAGGUG
rfam:Pteropus alecto contig11556, whole genome shotgun sequence.